UGGAAGCCUUUACAAUCACUGAGUAUAAGUUUAACUGAACGAUGGUGGCUUAUGACCUUAUUGCAGUGGGCUCCGAUAGGCUGAUGAUGAAGGUGACAUGAGUAAAGGUGACCGUUGAUAUGAAGGCUGAUAGGCGAGAAUGGAACAGAACAUGUGCCAACCCUACAUAAAGCGGGACCAGGGUUGACAAAAGAACAAUGUGGCGACUUCAGCUCGCUUGCUCAUUUCCCGAGCUUACUAGCUUAAUUUCCUCACAAAAACUCCGACGGCGACCCUGUAAAUGUCUCCUUAUAUAUAAAGGUAUAAUAAACAAGUGCUGUGCUGUU